AUUGAACGCUGGCGGCAGGCCUAACACAUGCAAGUCGAGCGGAUGAAGGGAGCUUGCUCCUGGAUUCAGCGGCGGACGGGUGAGUAAUGCCUAGGAAUCUGCCUGGUAGUGGGGGAUAACGUCCGGAAACGGGCGCUAAUACCGCAUACGUCCUGAGGGAGAAAGUGGGGGAUCUUCGGACCUCACGCUAUCAGAUGAGCCUAGGUCGGAUUAGCUAGUUGGUGGGGUAAAGGCCUACCAAGGCGACGAUCCGUAACUGGUCUGAGAGGAUGAUCAGUCACACUGGAACUGAGACACGGUCCAGACUCCUAGGGGAGGAAGCAGUGGGGAAUAUUGGACAUUGGGCGAAAGCCUGCUGCAGCCCUGCCGCGUGUGUGAAGAAGGUCUUCGGAUUGUAAAGCACUUUAAGUUGGGAGGAAGGGCAGUAAGUUAAUACCUUGCUGUUUUGACGGUACCAACAGAGUAAGCACCGGCUAACUUCGUG
rnacentral:rRNA from 1 species